AGCGAACGCUGGCGGCAGGCUUAACACAUGCAAGUCGAACGCCCGUAGCAAUACGGGAGUGGCAGACGGGUGAGUAACGCGUGGGAACAUGCCCUUUGGUUCGGAAUAACUCAGGGAAACUUGAGCUAAUACCGGAUAAGCCCGAGAGGGGAAAGAUUUAUCGCCGAAGGAUUGGCCCGCGUCCGAUUAGCUAGUUGGUGAGGUAAUGGCUCACCAAGGCGACGAUCGGUAGCUGGUCUGAGAGGAUGAUCAGCCACACUGGGACUGAGACACGGCCCAGACUCCUACGGGAGGCAGCAGUGGGGAAUAUUGGACAAUGGGGGCAACCCUGAUCCAGCCACGCCGCGUGAGUGAUGAAGGCCCUAGGGUUGUAAAGCUCUUUCGGCGGGGACGAUAAUGACGGUACCUGCAGAAAAAGCCCCGGCUAACUUCGUGCCAGCAGCCGCAGUAA
rnacentral:rRNA from 1 species